GUUAAGCGACUAAGCGUACACGGUGGAUGCCCUGGCAGUCAGAGGCGAUGAAGGACGUGCUAAUCUGCGAUAAGCGUCGGUAAGGUGAUAUGAACCGUUAUAACCGGCGAUUUCCGAAUGGGGAAACCCAGUGUGAUUCGUCACACUAUCAUUAACUGAAUCCAUAGGUUAAUGAGGCGAACCGGGGGAACUGAAACAUCUAAGUACCCCGAGGAAAAGAAAUCAACCGAGAUUCCCCCAGUAGCGGCGAGCGAACGGGGAGCAGCCCAGAGCCUGAAUCAGUGUGUGUGUUAGUGGAAGCGUCUGGAAAGGCGCGCGAUACAGGGUGACAGCCCCGUACACAAAAAUGCACAUGCUGUGAGCUCGAUGAGUAGGGCGGGACACGUGGUAUCCUGUCUGAAUAUGGGGGGACCAUCCUCCAAGGCUAAAUACUCCUGACUGACCGAUAGUGAACCAGUACCGUGAGGGAAAGGCGAAAAGAACCCCGGCGAGGGGAGUGAAAAAGAACCUGAAACCGUGUACGUACAAGCAGUGGGAGCACGCUUAGGCGUGUGACUGCGUACCUUUUGUAUAAUGGGUCAGCGACUUAUAUUCUGUAGCAAGGUUAACCGAAUAGGGGAGCCGAAGGGAAACCGAGUCUUAACUGGGCGUUAAGUUGCAGGGUAUAGACCCGAAACCCGGUGAUCUAGCCAUGGGCAGGUUGAAGGUUGGGUAACACUAACUGGAGGACCGAACCGACUAAUGUUGAAAAAUUAGCGGAUGACUUGUGGCUGGGGGUGAAAGGCCAAUCAAACCGGGAGAUAGCUGGUUCUCCCCGAAAGCUAUUUAGGUAGCGCCUCGUGAAUUCAUCUCCGGGGGUAGAGCACUGUUUCGGCAAGGGGGUCAUCCCGACUUACCAACCCGAUGCAAACUACGAAUACCGGAGAAUGUUAUCACGGGAGACACACGGCGGGUGCUAACGUCCGUCGUGAAGAGGGAAACAACCCAGACCGCCAGCUAAGGUCCCAAAGUCAUGGUUAAGUGGGAAACGAUGUGGGAAGGCCCAGACAGCCAGGAUGUUGGCUUAGAAGCAGCCAUCAUUUAAAGAAAGCGUAAUAGCUCACUGGUCGAGUCGGCCUGCGCGGAAGAUGUAACGGGGCUAAACCAUGCACCGAAGCUGCGGCAGCGACGCUUAUGCGUUGUUGGGUAGGGGAGCGUUCUGUAAGCCUGCGAAGGUGUGCUGUGAGGCAUGCUGGAGGUAUCAGAAGUGCGAAUGCUGACAUAAGUAACGAUAAAGCGGGUGAAAAGCCCGCUCGCCGGAAGACCAAGGGUUCCUGUCCAACGUUAAUCGGGGCAGGGUGAGUCGACCCCUAAGGCGAGGCCGAAAGGCGUAGUCGAUGGGAAACAGGUUAAUAUUCCUGUACUUGGUGUUACUGCGAAGGGGGGACGGAGAAGGCUAUGUUGGCCGGGCGACGGUUGUCCCGGUUUAAGCGUGUAGGCUGGUUUUCCAGGCAAAUCCGGAAAAUCAAGGCUGAGGCGUGAUGACGAGGCACUACGGUGCUGAAGCAACAAAUGCCCUGCUUCCAGGAAAAGCCUCUAAGCAUCAGGUAACAUCAAAUCGUACCCCAAACCGACACAGGUGGUCAGGUAGAGAAUACCAAGGCGCUUGAGAGAACUCGGGUGAAGGAACUAGGCAAAAUGGUGCCGUAACUUCGGGAGAAGGCACGCUGAUAUGUAGGUGAAGUCCCUCGCGGAUGGAGCUGAAAUCAGUCGAAGAUACCAGCUGGCUGCAACUGUUUAUUAAAAACACAGCACUGUGCAAACACGAAAGUGGACGUAUACGGUGUGACGCCUGCCCGGUGCCGGAAGGUUAAUUGAUGGGGUUAGCGCAAGCGAAGCUCUUGAUCGAAGCCCCGGUAAACGGCGGCCGUAACUAUAACGGUCCUAAGGUAGCGAAAUUCCUUGUCGGGUAAGUUCCGACCUGCACGAAUGGCGUAAUGAUGGCCAGGCUGUCUCCACCCGAGACUCAGUGAAAUUGAACUCGCUGUGAAGAUGCAGUGUACCCGCGGCAAGACGGAAAGACCCCGUGAACCUUUACUAUAGCUUGACACUGAACAUUGAGCCUUGAUGUGUAGGAUAGGUGGGAGGCUUUGAAGUGUGGACGCCAGUCUGCAUGGAGCCGACCUUGAAAUACCACCCUUUAAUGUUU
rnacentral:rRNA from 1 species